rnacentral:rRNA from 1 species
CCUUAGUAACGGCGAGUGAAGCGGCAACAGCUCAAAUUUGAAAGCUGGCCCUUUUAGGGUCCGCGUUGUAAUCUGUAGAGGAUGGUUCGGCGAGGGCUCCCGCCUAAGUCCCCUGGAACGGGGCGUCAUAGAGGGUGAGAAUCCCGUAUGCGGUGGGUUGCCUUAGCCAUGUGAACCUCCUUCGACGAGUCGAGUUGUUUGGGAAUGCAGCUCUAAAUGGGAGGUAAAUUUCUUCUAAAGCUAAAUACCGGCCAGAGACCGAUAGCGCACAAGUAGAGUGAUCGAAAGAUGAAAAGCACUUUGGAAAGAGAGUUAAAAAGUACGUGAAAUUGUUGAAAGGGAAGCGCUUGCAACCAGACUUGUCCGCAGUUGCUCAGCCGGUCUCCUGACCGGCGUACUCUUCUGCGGCCAGGCCAGCAUCAGUUCGGGCGGUCGGAUAAAGGCCUCGGGAAUGUGGCUCCUCUCGGGGAGUGUUAUAGCCCGGGGCGGAAUGCGGCCAGCCUGGACUGAGGAUCUCGCUUCGGCAAGGAUGCUGGCGUAAUGGUUGUAAGCGGCCCGUCUUGAAACACGGACCAAGGAGUCUAACAUCUAUGCGAGUGUUUGGGUGUCAAACCCAUACGCGUAAUGAAAGUGAACGGAGGUGGGAACCCGCAAGGGCGCACCAUCGGCCGAUCCUGAUGUCUUCGGAUGGAUUUGAGCAAGAGCAUAGCUGUUGGACCCGAAAGAUGGUGAACUAUGCCUGAAUAGGGUGAAGCCAGAGGAAACUCUGGUGGAGGCUCGCAGCGGUUUCUGAACGUGCAAAUCGAAUUCGUCAAAUUUGGGGAAUAAGGGGCGAAAGACUAAUC